rnacentral:sRNA from 1 species
UAAGCAGUGCGGCGCAGCCGAGCACA